CGGUUUGACGGCAACCCUGAUCCAGCAAUGCCGCGUGUGUGAAGAAGGCCUUCGGGUUGUAAAGCACUUUUGUCCGGAAAGAAAACGCUCUGGUUAAUACCCGGGGCGGAUGACGGUACCGGAAGAAUAAGCACCGGCUAACUACGUGCCAGCAGCCGCGGUAAUACGUAGGGUGCAAGCGUUAAUCGGAAUUACUGGGCGUAAAGCGUGCGCAGGCGGUCCGCUAAGACAGAUGUGAAAUCCCCGGGCUUAACCUGGGAACUGCAUUUGUGACUGGCGGGCUAGAGUAUGGCAGAGGGGGGUAGAAUUCCACGUGUAGCAGUGAAAUGCGUAGAGAUGUGGAGGAAUACCGAUGGCGAAGGCAGCCCCCUGGGCCAAUACUGACGCUCAUGCACGAAAGCGUGGGGAGCAAACAGGAUUAGAUACCCUGGA
rnacentral:rRNA from 2 species